rnacentral:lncRNA from 1 species
AGAGUACUAUAGGACAACAAAACCAGACAAGUCCUCCAUUAAGUAAUUUAGGUAAGUCAAAGGAGAGAAAGAAAACCCUUUAAACACAUUAGAAACAUGUUUAAAGAUGUGGUCUAAUCAAAUCUUGUCUUUUAAACACAUACAUGUGCAUAUAUUUAUAUACCUUCUUCAUCUCAUAAAAGGUGUUUAUAACUUGUCCAGAGGCAGCCCAUGAGUCCAAGGCAGAAAGAGCUAUGUGUUCAAUAUCAGGAAUUAGCUUCCUGAUGGUAUCAGGUGCUAGUGAGUAUUGAACCAACUUCCUUAGCCGAGUGUGGUAUUCACCCUGGUGAAAGAAGAGCGCCCAAGGGCCA